rnacentral:rRNA from 1 species
UACGUAGGGGGCUAGCGUUGUCCGGAUUUAUUGGGCGUAAAGAGCGUGUAGGCGGCCAGGUAGGUCUGCUGUGAAAACUCGAGGCUCAACCUCGAGACCUCGGCGGAAACCAUCUGGCUAGAGUCCGGAAGAGGAGAGUGGAAUUCCUGGUGUAGCGGUGAAAUGCGCAGAUAUCAGGAAGAACACCCGUGGCGAAGGCGGCUCUCUGGGACGGUACUGACGCUGAGACGCGAAAGCGUGGGGAGCGAACAGG